AUGUGAGAGGUGUUAAGUGGGUAGGAUGAUAAGUAUUAUGGGAAACAGGGAGGGUAGUAAGUUCCUGGAAUGCUGGUGUCUCUCUGAUUAGAACCCUCUUGGCCCACCAUUUUCUCAUAAGUGAGCAGGCUAUUUUUCUUAGUUACAUGUAGGACUGGGUAGGAAAUACGAUUCUCACUGGUAAGAAUAGUUUUUCGUUUGGAAUUUAACCAGUUUUUAAAGUUUCACUUCUGAUUAGCCUGGC
rnacentral:lncRNA from 1 species